GCUAAAACAGCUCAGUUGGAAGAGCAUUAGACUGAAGAUCUAAAGGUCCCUGGUUCAAUCCAGAGUAUUAGCA
rnacentral:tRNA from 1 species